CAAUUAUAGGCCCAGCAGGGGAGGUAUUGGAAGAGCCCGUUAACAAGAAGGAGGCAAAGAGGAUUCUAGGAUCCCCCAGCGAACACAACUUAAGACACAGCAGGCUAGCAGUGGGGAGAAGCAGCAAGGCAGAGGUCCCUCCGUGGAGAAAUGCCGGGUGGAGAGGCUUGUCCAAG